GAAGAAUGGAUGAACAAGUUAUGGUAUAUAAAUGUUAUGGAAUAUUAUUGUGCUGAACUCUUAUCACCAUAAUGACCAAUCAUGAUUCCAGAAGACUGAUGAGGAAAUAUGCUUUCUACCUCCUGAAAAAGAGGAAUACUGACAAAGACUUUCCUGGAGAGAGUGUGGUGGAGCCAAGGUGGUAACUUGAGAACAGCUCCUGCCCAGUGGACCAAGAAAGAGAGUGGCUGGAAGAGUCUGAUGAUGCUGCACACUUUCCACCUGGAGGAAUUUAUUUAUUUAUUUUUCUCUUCUCCUCAUACAGUCAACCUUCAAGCAAACACAUAUAUAAAGUAGAUGAUAUCUAAAGUCUUUUCUUCUAAAAUUCUUGGUGCUGCCCAUUAAUCCUUCAUUGAGAAUCUACCAAAGCUCCAAAAUAUCCCCAUGUCAUUUCUGCACCAUACCAUCUGCACCCUGGCCACCAUCCAUAUCUUUCCUCCUCCCCAUCCAACUUGGACUCUUCCUCU
rnacentral:lncRNA from 1 species